UGGCAGCCACUCUCAGGGUGGGAGAAGGUAAGGUAGGAAGUAGCCCAGGGAUACAGCAGUAAGGGUUAGGACAGAACAGACAUUGACUGCUUGUUGUAGGGUCCCUGGGCUGGAAGCCAGCAUAGAGGGUGGGCCUGGGUUCCCUUCCAGCCUCUGGGCAGUGGUGCCUUUAAGGCCAGUGAGAGGAAAGACAGCCUGGGACAGUGGGUCCCGAGAGACUUUGAUACCCCGGAAGGGGCAGACUACAGUGACCUGGCUGGAAGGCCAAACCUCAAAGCAGGAGCAGUCAAAUCCCAAGCAAGCAAGGCAGGGGAAUGACGGUGUGAGCAACCACUGCAGCGACGUCUGACUGGCAGAGCUGUUCUCCAGACCCUGCCAGAAGGAGGCACUCCGGAGAGAAGUAGAACACCCUGUGACAAUAUAACGUUAUCCACCUUGACAGUGAAUCCAAAAUGCAUACUCCAUGAAGAUGAAGAAACCAAUACAACAAGGCUCAUUUCACUCUACUCCUCUGAUCCCUCAGACUGCGUAUUUAUGCCAGGAUCCUGCCAUCUAAUAUACCUGGACAGACGUUUACAUCCAUAUAGAUUCCUGUGGAACUCAGCAGAGCUCCUCAAGCCACAGGGGUCCCCUCCAUAGAGGAUGGAAGCCUUGGUGUCCUGAUCCAAAGCCUUUCCACUGAUUGAUAAGCUUCACAUCAGGCCCUUCACUGGUCUUUUUGUUUCCAUGCCCUUCAUUUUUUCUUUCUGGUGUGGCAGACAAAUAGAAAAUGCCCCAAAACAUUUUAAACACAGGAAAACAUUCAAUAAAACAGUGGACGCCUUUCCUGUGCUUUGCCAAAACUUCCACGAGGCAACACAAGAAGACCCAGAUGAGAAAUGUUUAAAUGUUAUUACGCUAAAGGAUUACCUGAUAAUCAAUUCAAAGCAAAAUGAUUCUCAGAUAGAAAAGACUGUACCUCCCAUAGAAAUCCCAGGAACUCCACUCUACAAUCAGUUAACUGGCAAAGCACUAGGCUAAAGUAUAGUAGUCUAUAAAACCAUUUUAAUGGAGAAUUCUACAUAUAAAAAUUAAGAGAUUUAGCCAUCCUGAUUUUAGAAGCAGUGUCACAGGGUGAGCACAGGCUCUCCCACUUUUGUGCCUGCACCCUGUGUUUAGGCUGGUUUAAUAAAGAGUGUUCACGCCCUCUGUUGUUGAAUCACCUCCGUGUCUUUAUUUACAGUGCUUGUGCAGUGCCCAGAUCCCCCAACAGUUAGCACCACACAAACCCUCCCCAGGGUCUCCUGGCCCUUGAGGCUUCCUUAUUGGCAAGGAGCCGGAAACACUGCCCUCCUGUCUCCUCCCAGGCUAGCCUCCUCACUGAGGUUUGCCCAGGGCUUUUACAGCCUUCUCCUGCCCCAGCCCAGCUGUCACUACUUAGCCCAGCACGUUCAUCUGAGCCAGCUCUCGUUAGGGCUUGCAGCUGGGCUC